rnacentral:misc_RNA from 1 species
CCCGGCUAAACCUGGUUCUUUGCAUCAUCUCCCUCGCUAAUCAAUCUUUGGAAUCCUCUGUCUCCUAAUUUCCCAGCCUAAAAUAGACAAAUUCUCCAUUAAUUGUAGUGGGUAUUUAAGNNNNNNNNNNNNCUGGUGAUUUGAGAAGAUCGAUUCAAGGAGGAGAGGUAUAAGGAGUGGGUGAGGAACGGUGUCUUGAAUGCAAAGCCAAACAUGGCUGCAACUGUUUCCAAAAAUGGUGCCGACUUCCAUGGUUUUCAAGGGAUGUGAAAGGACUAAAGUAUUGUUG